UACGUAGGGCGCAAGCGUUGUCCGGAAUCAUUGGGCGUAAAGAGCUCGUAGGCGGCCUGUUGCGUCCGCUGUGAAAUCCCGGGGCUUAACCCCGGGCGUGCAGUGGAUACGGGCUGGCGUGGAGGCAGGCAGGGGAGAACGGAAUUCCCGGUGUAGCGGUGAAAUGCGCAGAUAUCGGGAGGAACACCGGUGGCGAAGGCGGUUCUCUGGGCCUGUACUGACGCUGAGGAGCGAAAGCGUGGGGAGCGAACAGG
rnacentral:rRNA from 1 species